CCCUUAGAUGUUCUGGGCCGCACGCGUGCUACACUGAGUGGAUCAGCGGGUCAGGUUGCGCGAAAGUGUUUCCUAAUCUUUAAAUCCGCUCGUGAUGGGGAUUGACGGUUGCAAUUUUCCGUCAUGAACGAGGAAUACCUUGUAAGCGCGGGUCAUCAUCCCGCGCUGAAUACGUCCCUGCCCUUUGUACACACCGCCCGUCGCUCCUACCGAUUGAGUGGUCCGGUGAGGCUUUGGGAUCUGGGCGGAAAGAGCGUUUCGCUGUUUCUGCCCGGAAAACUCAGUCGAACCUUAUCAUUUAGAGGAAGGAGAAGGCGGAACA
rnacentral:rRNA from 1 species